rnacentral:rRNA from 1 species
GACGAACGCUGGCGGCGUGCUUAACACAUGCAAGUCGAGCGGUAAGGCCCUUUCGGGGGUACACGAGCGGCGAACGGGUGAGUAACACGUGGGUGACCUGCCCUCAGCUCUGGGAUAAGCCUGGGAAACUGGGUCUAAUACUGGAUAUGACUCCACGGUGCAUGUCGUGGGGUGGAAAGCCUUGUGCGGCUGAGGAUGGGCCCGCGGCCUAUCAGCUUGUUGGUGGGGNGAUGGCCUACCAAGGCGACGACGGGUAGCCGGCCUGAGAGGGCGACCGGCCACACUGGGACUGAGACACGGCCCAGACUCCUACGGGAGGCAGCAGUGGGGAAUCUUGCGCAAUGGGACGAAAGCCUGACGCAGCGACGCCGCGU